UACAGAGGGUGCAAACGUUGCUCUGAAUUAUUGGGCGUAAAGCGCGUGUAGGCGGCUUGUUAAGUCGGUUGUGAAAACCCAUGGCUCAACCAUGGAAGCGCGUCCGAAACUGGCAAGCUGGAGUCCCGACGAGGGUGGCGGAAUUCCCAGUGUAGAGGUGAAAUUCGUAGAUAUUGGGAGGAACAUCGGUGGCGAAGGCGGCCACCUGGGAGGGUACUGACGCUGAGACGCGAAAGCGUGGGGAGCAAACAGG
rnacentral:rRNA from 1 species